ACCAUCCUUUUCUUGGGGUUGCGCUACUGUCCAAUGAACGUGUAGUGAGGACAGUACUGCUAACACCUGUACAACACACUCGCAUCAAAUAAAGUUUUGCUUUAUUUUGGUGCAAUUUUUGGAAAC